rnacentral:rRNA from 1 species
GACGAACGCUGGCGGCGUGCCUAAUACAUGCAAGUUGAGCGAUGAAGAUUGGUGCUUGCACCCAUUUGAAGAGCAGCGAACGGGUGAGUAACGCGUGGGGCAUCUGCCUUUGAGCGGGGGACAACAUUUGGAAACGAAUGCUAAUACCGCAUAAUAACUUUAAACAUAAGUUUUAAGUUUGAAAGAUGCAAUUGCAUCACUCAAAGAUGAUCCCGCGUUGUAUUAGGUAGGUGGUGAGGUAAAGGCUCACCAAGGCGAGGAUACAUAGUCGACCUGAGAGGGAGGUAGGGCAAAAUGGGACUGGGACACGGGCCAAACUCCUACGGGGGGGAGCAGUAGGGAAUCUUCGGAAAAGGACGAAAGGCUGACCGAGCAACGCCGCGUGAGUGAAGAAGGUUUUUGGAUCGUAAAAGUCUGUUGGUAGAGAAGAACGUGGGUGAGGGUGGAAAGCUCAUCAAGUGACGGUAACUAACCAGAAAGGAACGGCUAACUACGUG